CGCACCAUGCAUCACCACCAUCCACAAGGGAUCCAUGGUUUCAUUGGAAGGCAGUUCAAAUGAUACAUCAGUGAAAUAAUCCAACGAAUAAAAGCCCAGUUAUCAUCCUGGCACCAAAGCACAGUUAUCAUCCUGGCACCAAAAGCCCAGUUAUCAUCCUGACACCAAAAGCCCAGUUAUCAUCCUGACACAAAAGCCCAGUUAUCAUCCUGGCACCAAAGCCCAGUUAUCAUCCUGGCACCAAAGCCCAGUUAUCAUCCUGGCACCAAAGCCCAGUUAUCAUCCUG
rnacentral:lncRNA from 1 species